ACAACUUUCAACAACGGAUCUUUUGGUUCUGGCAUCGAUGAAGAACGCAGCGAAAUGCGAUAAGUAGUGUGAAUUGCAGAAUUCAGUGAAUCAUCGAAUCUUUGAACGCACAUUGCGCCCCUUGGUAUUCCAUGGGGCAUGCCUGUUCGAGGGUCAUU
rnacentral:rRNA from 1 species